UGAUGUUAGCGGCGGACGGGUGAGUAACACGUGGGUAACCUGCCUGUAAGACUGGGAUAACUCCGGGAAACCGGGGCUAAUACCGGAUGGUUGUCUGAACCGCAUGGUUCAGACAUAAAAGGUGGCUUCGGCUACCACUUACAGAUGGACCCGCGGCGCAUUAGCUAGUUGGUGAGGUAACGGCUCACCAAGGCGACGAUGCGUAGCCGACCUGAGAGGGUGAUCGGCCACACUGGGACUGAGACACGGCCCAGACUCCUACGGGAGGCAGCAGUAGGGAAUCUUCCGCAAUGGACGAAAGUCUGACGGAGCAACGCCGCGUGAGUGAUGAAGGUUUUCGGAUCGUAAAGCUCUGUUGUUAGGGAAGAACAAGUGCCGUUCAAAUAGGGCGGCACCUUGACGGUACCUAACCAGAAAGCCACGGCUAACUACGUGCCAGCAGCCGCGGUAAUACGUAGGUGGCAAGCGUUGUCCGGAAUUAUUGGGCGUAAAGGGCUCGCAGGCGGUUUCUUAAGUCUGAUGUGAAAGCCCCCGGCUCAACCGGGGAGGGUCAUUGGAAACUGGGGAACUUGAGUGCAGAAGAGGAGAGUGGAAUUCCACGUGUAGCGGUGAAAUGCGUAGAGAUGUGGAGGAACACCAGUGGCGAAGGCGACUCUCUGGUCUGUAACUGACGCUGAGGAGCGAAAGCGUGGGGAGCGAACAGGAUUAGAUACCCUGGUAGUCCACGCCGUAAACGAUGAGUGCUAAGUGUUAGGGGGUUUCCGCCCCUUAGUGCUGCAGCUAACGCAUUAAGCACUCCGCCUGGGGAGUACGGUCGCAAGACUGAAACUCAAAGGAAUUGACGGGGGCCCGCACAAGCGGUGGAGCAUGUGGUUUAAUUCGAAGCAACGCGAAGAACCUUACCAGGUCUUGACAUCCUCUGACAAUCCUAGAGAUAGGACGUCCCCUUCGGGGGCAGAGUGACAGGUGGUGCAUGGUUGUCGUCAGCUCGUGUCGUGAGAUGUUGGGUUAAGUCCCGCAACGAGCGCAACCCUUGAUCUUAGUUGCCAGCAUUCAGUUGGGCACUCUAAGGUGACUGCCGGUGACAAACCGGAGGAAGGUGGGGAUGACGUCAAAUCAUCAUGCCCCUUAUGACCUGGGCUACACACGUGCUACAAUGGACAGAACAAAGGGCAGCGAAACCGCGAGGUUAAGCCAAUCCCACAAAUCUGUUCUCAGUUCGGAUCGCAGUC
rnacentral:rRNA from 1 species